UGCUAGUAAUUAAUGUGAUCAUUUGUCUUCUUUUGGAAAAUUAAUCACCAAUCGGAAAAGGACCUGGUACGAAGUUUUUUUUCUUUUGUUAAACCGGAAAUUUUUCAUCUAAUCUAUUAAAAAAAAAUACAAAUUAAAACUAACAAUUAAACUUGCACAAUAUUUACAACCUAAUACCAUUGAAAUAAUUAAAUAAACCUAAUCUUUGUCUUUUUUUAAAUUAAAAAAGUAAUAAUUACUCCUACUUCUAUGCUUUCCAUUUCUUUUAUAAAAUUAAUAAAACAUUUCUUAAAUUAAAUUCACAAUCAAUUCUGUUGUAGGCACAGGAGGGGUAACUCACGAAUUGAUAGAGGUUGGAUCCAAGCUACAACCUGAGAACAAUGAGAACCGAUUUUUAUGAGUUUUUAGAGUUUUAUAAUGCAAAUGAAAACUAAUGAGAUGAUGAUGAUAAUGAUAAUAAAACAAGAUAAAUAAACAAAGGAUAGGAUGGAAUCAAGCUGCUGGUUGUGUAACACUUUCAGCUUGAUCAAAUGAUGGUUGAAGUGGAAUGAGAUGGAGCUUUGCUUGCUGGUUGUGUAACUCUCUCAAGCUUGACCAGUGGUUGGGAUGGACCAAAUGGAUUGAUAAACACCACAAAGAUCUAUGGAAGGGAUCUUUGAUAAGCCUGAUUGCUCUGGAGCUGUUUUUCACACACUCAAAAGACUUAGAACAAUAGUUUUGACAAAACUAGAAAAACUGUAUUUUCAUUCAUAAAAGUUCAAGGGUGAUUUACAAUGAAGAAACAACUUGAGCUUUAUAGGCUCGACUACUGGGACUCUCUAACAGUCAUAAAAUGACAUAAGGAAACUAAUAAAGUCGAAAUAAUAAACUUGGAAGCAAAGGAAUUGAUGGCUCCAUGAAAACUAGCCGUUGGAGGCUUUAUGAUGAGAAUCUUGGCCAAAUGAAUGUAGAUGGUGUUCUCCUUGUAUCUGGACGGUUUGAGGGGAUAACUAAGCUUCCUGGGAACCUUCUUGAUGGCUUGGAGGGUGCUGAGGUCGUGCCUAAUCUGAAGGAAAAAGAGCUGUUGGAGCUGGAUGGCAAGAAGCUCCAAAUAAGGCAAGUUGGGGUUAAUGAGGAUCCUCCUGAUCCUAUGUGGGCUGGUGUAUGGAAUGAACUUGUCUGACUCUUCUGGACCAUUGGAUAGACUUCCUGAAUGCAUAGAUAUAUCUCCUGGUCGCCAAUGUCUGGUUUGAAGCUGAUUGAACCGGUUAGCUUCCAAUUGAGGCAAGUGUAGAACUAGUUUGACCAGUUUUGGAGAUUGGAUCAUAACUUAAUAAUUCCGUGGCCAUUUCUCUUGAUCUUAAUAAAAUUGGUUUCGUAUUUAAAUUCCUUCUAGUUGUAGAGAUAUACGCCUUGGACUGAACCUCGGUCGCUGGUACCUCCUAGAUGGCCGGUUUGGACGGUUUUGUGAGACUCUGGCUGAACCAUGGAUUUCGUGACCACAACAAAUUCAAUAUAAAUCUUUUAACUUAUCUAUUUCAUAUUAAUAUUAUAAACAUUAAUGAACAUCAAUAAUAUACACAAAAUAUUUAUGUAACAAUAUAAGUUACAUUUUGUCUCAUUCUCCUCUAUAGUUCACGUUACUCUUCAUUUUUUUGAACAAACUCUUCUUCUUACCAAUAUAAAUAUAUUACAUGCACCAUUAAAAUUAUUUACCAACUUACCAUGUAUAAAAUAACUUAUUAGACAUUAUCGUAAAAUUUUGAUUCACAAAAAAAACAAAAAAAACAUUUGUAUAGAUGCAAGGAUCAUAUUCUAAAAAUGGUGGUAAUACAAUUGACGGUUUACAAGACAAAAUUAAAUUAAAAAAUAUAAACUAUAAAUUAUUAUUCUUAUAAAUGUUAUUAAAUAAUCAUUUAACACAGGUAAAAUUUUAAAAUAUAUACUAUCACUUAGACAAAAUAAUUUAUUUACAAAAAUAAAAGCAAACAUCCGCAAAAUCAUGGUUUAAAUGUACACAAACUUAAGCUCAUUUAUAAUUUCUUAUCAGUUACAUAAAAUUUAUAUUUUUAUUUUAUUUUCUUACAAAUUUAUAUCUUAAUUUGUAUAUGUUCCAAAUUUGAUAGAAAUUUAACAAUCAUUUUAUUUUCUUACAAAUAUUAUAGCUAAUGUAUCAUUUAUAAAUAGCAUGCUAAUUCACAAUUGUCUAUUUUUGUACUUUUUAUUUAAAAAACAUUAUUCGCUAUAUAUCUUAGACAUGGAUCUAAUUAUAUAAAUGUUAUAAUUUUUAUAUAAUACCCAAUAUUGGUGAUACAUUUUACUCUAAAAUUCUAAAAUAUAAAAUUAAAUACAAAUAUAACAUUUACAUUUACAAAUAAGACUAUAUUUACAAAUAUAUUAUUAAAUACAAACAAAAAUUAAAUACUCGCGCGGUUGCGCGGAUCAAAGUCUAGUUACUAAUUUAAAACUUUAAAAAGAGGUUUAGAGACCACAGGGCAUGUUUGGCAACACUAUCAGCUUUAUCAUUAGCCGAUCUAGGAAUAAAAAUAAACUGGAUAGUCUUAAAUGAGCUUGUACUGAGGUAGAUAUCACGUAGCUUCAUCUCUCUAGGUUGAUGGUGUUGAUGAGGGUCUGAGAAUCAGAGAGGAGCGAGAUGGCAUCGAUUCCGCAUGAGAGGGCAAAGUUUAUGGCUGAUCGAACAGCCAAGGCUUCUGCCAUAAGGGGUGACGACACAUGACCUGAGGUCGCUGAGUGAUGAGAUGGGGAAACCAGAUCAUCAAUGAUCCAACCUAAUCCUGCAGAUUCUGAGGAGGAAUUCCAAGCUGCAUCUGUAUAGAUCGAGGUUACUCCCGAUCUUCUAGGGUUUAGUUCAAUUAUGAUCAAAGGUUUCGGUAGAGGAGCUUUCGGAGGUAGUUGUGCCAACAUCCAUUCCCUCGCCUAUAUAUGAGAUCGCUUUGAGUAUGGUUUCUUCAAGCGUGAAUUCUCUCUUCUCGAAGACCCGCUGAUUCCUGGAUAUCCAAAUGUUCCAAACGAUGGAGGCUGCAAGAGUUCCCGCUUCAAGGCCCACUAGAGGAAGAGAGGGGAGCUUCCUGACCUUUUCUCAGCCUUCUAGAAAGGAUACGAAGUCAUUUGCUUUGAUCUCAGUAGGAAAUGGGGCUAGAUCCCAGACUUUAGCAGCAUACGGGCAUUGGAACAGAAGGUGUGUGAUUGAUUCUAUUGCGUCGCAGCGUGGGCAGAGAAGGCUAACUUGAAUGUUCUGAAAGGCGAAUUGUUCUCCUACUCGUAGUCCACCAUAUAGGGAUCUCCAGAUAAAAGUUUUGAUCUUUUCAGAGGUCUUGAUGUCCCAAACACUUGAGUACCAAUUGAUGGGGGCUGCUUGGUCCCUAGGAGCUGCAUUGGUCUUGUCUUCCAUUAGUGUUUUAUCCUGAUCUUGUGGAGUACUCACCCGUUGGGUUUUUGAGCCAUACAAGCUCAUCUGGGACACCAAGCUUACUCGGUUUGAGUCUUAUUUGCUCCUUGUGGAAGGGGAGGAUCAGCUCUAUUUUUUCCACGUUCCAUUCGGCGGAGUCAUGUGUGAGAAGGUCUGCGACAUUCAGCGUGGUGAAGGCUUCAGGUGCUGGUCUCAUUGGUCGUAAUUCCUCAGAAUGGGACAGCCAAGGGUCGUCCUACCGACCAUCCAGCCUAGUUGCAUUAAGAGGAGGUCUCUACCAAUCAAAACGCUUCUACAACCAUGUGAUGCAGAUGCCGGCGUCUUACAUUUUAAGAAAGACUCAGAAUGGCAGUAUUUCUCAAGGAGACAUCGAGCAAGGAGACAUGUUGGGUUCUUUAAGAUGCGCCAUCCCAGUUUUGCAAGUAGAGAGUCAUUGAAAGAGCAAGAAGCUUUGAAAUAGUUUAUAGCUUUCAUAUGGAAUCAAAUCCAAGAACCAUCAUUGCAGCUUCCUUGAAGAGAAGACUUGUCUCUCAAUCUCUUAAAGUAAGGUAAAGAUUGAUAAACCUCGAACCAAUUCUGGCUGCUAUGAUACAUUCAAAGUAAUAUUCUAAAACGAAGCUUUGUUUUAGACUAUUAAUAUCGAAAUUCAUAUUUUGACAAGAU